rnacentral:tRNA from 1 species
GGCGGCGUAGCUCAGUUGGUUAGAGCGUGGGACUCAUAAGCCCAAGGUCAGUGGUCCGAAUCCACUCGCCGCUA